rnacentral:tRNA from 1 species
UCCAGGAUAGCUUAGUGGACAUGGCACCUGCCCGGUAAGCAGAAGGUUGUGGGUUCGAUUCCCGCUCCUGGAC